ACAGUUGAAUAAUGACCGCUGUAGAAAGCAGGAGCCGCGAGGCUUAAUAUCCUGCCGAGGUUGGAAGACACGCCGAUAACUCUUUAUUUGGCAUUCUUAACCUCUGCAUACGCGGAGGUUUUUUGCUGGGUUU
rfam:Desulfosporosinus sp. OL contig00009, whole genome shotgun sequence.